rnacentral:rRNA from 1 species
UACCGGCACCCCGAGUGGUCGGGACGAUUAUUGGGCCUAAAGCAUCCGUAGGCGGUUUUACAAGUCCCCCGUUAAAUCCAGCUGCUUAACAGAUGGGCUGCGGAGGAUACUAUAAGACUAGGAGGCAGGAGAGGCAAGCGGUACUCAGUGGGUAGGGGUAAAAUCCGUUGAUCCAUUGAAGACCACCAGUGGCGAAGGCGGCUUGCCAGAAUGCGCUCGACGGUGAGGGAUGAAAGCUGGGGGAGCAAACCGG